ACCGAUUGACUGUUGUUGCUGCUGGUUAUUGCACCUGGCUCUUGGCCUUGCCUGGUUACUACAGUCACCAUAUGCUGUUUUGCUGCCGCCUACAUGAUGCAGCCCAGCCACCUAUAUUUUUUUUUCACUAACUCUAGUUCCUAAUCCCUUUUAGAUCGAGUUUCCUCUGGUCUCCCAAUCCCUCUUAAUCUUCUCUCCUUUUGUCUUCUAUCCUUACCAAUAC
rnacentral:lncRNA from 1 species